rnacentral:rRNA from 1 species
GACGGAAGGUGCAAGCGUUGCUCGGAAUCACUGGGCGUAAAGGGUGCGUAGGCGGCUUGGUAAGUUGGGUGUGAAAGCCCCGGGCUCAGCCCGGGAAGGGCACUCGAAACUGCCGAGCUGGAGUGCCGGAGGGGAGAGUGGAAUUCCUGGUGUAGCGGUGAAAUGCGCAGAUAUCAGGAGGAACACCGGUGGCGAAGGCGGAUCUCUGGGCCAUUACUGACGCUGAGGAGCGAAAGCGUGGGGAGCGAACAGG